AACGAACGCUGGCGGCAGGCUUAACACAUGCAAGUCGAACGAACGUAGCAAUACGUUAGUGGCGCACGGGAGCGUAACACGUGGGAACCUACCUUUUAGUUCGGAAUAACGUCGGGAAACUGACGCUAAUACCGGAUAAUCCCUAUGGGGGAAAGAUUUAUUGCCAUUAGAUGGGCCCGCGCUAGAUUAGCUUGUUGGUGAGGUAAUGGCUCACCAAGGCUACGAUCUAUAGCUGGUCUGAGAGGAUGACCAGCCUCACUGGGACUGAGACACGGCCCAGACUCCUACGGGAGGCAGCAGUGGGGAAUAUUGGACAAUGGGGGAAACCCUGAUCCAGCCAUGCCGCGUGAAUGAUGAAGGCCUUCGGGUUGUAAAGUUCUUUUGGUAGGGACGAUGAUGACGGUACCUACAGAAUAAGCUCCGGCUAACUUCGUGCCAGCCGCCGCAGUAAAAC
rnacentral:rRNA from 1 species